AGCGCAGGCGGGAAGACAAGUUGGAAGUGAAAUCCAUGGGCUCAACCCAUGAACUGCUUUCAAAACUGUUUUUCUUGAGUAGUGCAGAGGUAGGCGGAAUUCCCAGUGUAGCGGUGGAAUGCGUAGAUAUCGGGAGGAACACCAGUGGCGAAGGCGGCCUACUGGGCACCAACUGACGCUGAGGCUCGAAAGUGUGGGUAGCAAACA
rnacentral:rRNA from 1 species